AGUGAACGCUGGCGGUAGGCCUAACACAUGCAAGUCGAACGGCAGCACAGUAAGAGCUUGCUCUUACGGGUGGCGAGUGGCGGACGGGUGAGGAAUACAUCGGAAUCUACUUUUUCGUGGGGGAUAACGUAGGGAAACUUACGCUAAUACCGCAUACGACCUACUGGUGAAAGCAGGGGAUCUUCGGACCUUGCGCGAUUGAAUAAGCCGAUGUCGGAUUAGCUAGUUGGCGGGGUAAAGGCCCACCAAGGCGACGAUCCGUAGCUGGUCUGAGAGGAUGAUCCGCCACCUUGGAUGUGAGGCUCGGUCCAGACUCCUACGGGAGGCAGCAGUGGGGAAUAUUGGACAAUGGGGGAAAGCGUGAUCCAGCCAUACCGCGUGGGUGAAGAACGCCUUCGGGUUGUAAAGCCCUUUUGUUGUGAGAGAAAAGCAGCAGGUUAAUACCCGGCUGUUAUGACGGUACCCAAAGAAUAAGCUCCGGCUAACUUCGUG
rnacentral:rRNA from 1 species